AUACGGAGGGUGCAAGCGUUGUUCGGAAUCACUGGGCGUAAAGGGCGCGCAGGCGGUUUGAUUAGUCAGAUGUGAAAGCCCACGGCUUAACCGUGGAAGUGCAUUUGAAACUGUCAGACUUGAGUAUCAGAGGGGAAAGUGGAAUUCCCGGUGUAGAGGUGAAAUUCGUAGAUAUCGGGAGGAAUACCGGUGGCGAAGGCGACUUUCUGGCUGAAUCCUGACGCUGAGGCGCGAAAGCGUGGGGAGCAAACAGGAUUAGAAACCCUAGUAGUCC
rnacentral:rRNA from 1 species